rnacentral:lncRNA from 1 species
GUUGGCAGGGACCAAGGGACUGGGAGGCGGAUCGGGGCUGGGCUCAGGGGCCGAGAGGGAGCUGGGCUUGGGGCGGGGCCGAGACGGAGCGAGGGGUCCAGGGUGUGAGAAACGGGGAGGGGUUUGAGGAGGGGAUUGGAGUGUGGCUCAAGUUCGGGAGGCGUUACCUGCGGAGGGUUUGAGGCAGGCCCAGGAGCGAGCCCACGGUCUGCCGACGCGGGGCCAGCGGCGGGCCCCAGGAUCCGGAGCUUCGGGCGGGGCCGAGUCCAGGCAGGAAUCGGAGUGCCGUAGUACAAUCACAGCUCACUGCAGCCUCAAACUCCUGGGUUCCAGCGAUCCUCCCGCCUCAGCCUCCCCAGUAGCUGGGGCUACAGGCAUGUGACACUACAUCCAGCUAAUUUAUUGUAGAGACAGGGUCUCACUAUGUUGCCCAGGCUGGUCUCAAGCUCCUGGCCCCAAGUGAUCCUCCUACCUCAUCCUCCCAAAGUCCCAACCCAGUAAAGGCGCCAUUCCCCAUUUUACAGCUGGGGAAACUGAGUUACAGAGCUUGUCUACACUGAGUCAACAGGAGCAAAUGCUAGAUCAGGUCUAGCUGGAGUACAGUGAUGCAGUCAUAGCCCACUGCAGCCUCAAAAUUCCUGGGCUCAAGCAAUCCACCCACAUCAGCUUCCCAAGUAGUUGGGACUACAGGCCCACACUACUAUACCCAGACCAACAGAUAUUCUAGCAUAUAAGAAAUGUGAUGCUCUCUGUACAUUGAAGAGUUGGUCUAAUAUUUGGCCUGGUGGAUACAGAAAUUGCCUGUCUGCUCCGCUCUGGUUGAAGAAACCAGUCCGACUGUCUCUGAGGCUAUGGAGCAGUCCAUCAAGAAUGAAAGCCCUCGGCUGGCACGUUGGCUCACACCUGUAAUACCAGCGCUUUGGGAGGCUGAGGCAGGUGGAUCACUUGAAGUCACGAAUUCGACACCAGCAUGGCCAACAUGGUGAAACCCUCUCUCUACAGAAAAUAGAAAAAUUAGCUGGGCCUAGUGACGUGUGCCUGUAAUCCCAGCUACUCAGGAGGCUGAGGCAGGAGAAUCACUUGAUCCUGGGAGGCAGAGCUUGCAGUGGGGAGCUGAGAUCACACCACUGCCUUCCAGCCUGGGCGACAGAGUGAGACUCUCUCAAAAAAAAAAAAAAAAAAAAAAAAAAGAAAGUCCUCAUGAUGGCCUCAAGCACAUUGGUCCCUGAAGAGAGUCAAGGAAGGCCCACUUUACUCUGCACUGCAAAGCAGGCAGGUGGACAGGAUGAGAAGUGGAUUCAGUGAGAGGCAUUGACUCAAAGGAUUUUCUGCCUAAUGGUCGGUUCAGCAGAAGAUUAAACUGAGCACAGCAUCCUGUUCCCUCAAACUAUCUGGUUGGUCAGUGGGGAAUGUUCUUGUCUCAUUAAAUGUCCUCAUGCUACUGUCAAGAUAUCCUGUUACAAAACAUCAUAAAUCAGGUUUACAAAUAGGCCAGGUGACUGCGGAAUUUCUCCUUGGCAAGGCCUUAGCUAUGGGCGUGCGAUUGGUGUGCAGUAAUCACAGUGUUCCGGGCCACUUGAGGGAUAAAAUAUACCUUAGGUGAUAAACCAUUAUAUUUUAAUGUGAAUAUUUCCACCAACAUUAAACAGUAACCCCAUGAGUUUUCUCAUACCUGUUACACUCUGGAGUUGCAACAAGCUAACAUGAAGCAAGUUGCAAACAGAAUUAUCGCAUUUGGCCCCUAUUCACAGCAAGGGUUCUUCAAGCUGUACCUGGGACAGUCUUCCCUCACAUGAGGUUUAUAGCAUCAUUUAUUUAAUUAUUUAUUUAUUUUUUGAGAUGGAGUUUCUCUCUGUCGCCCAGGCUGGAGUGCAAUGGUGCGAUCUUGGCUCACUGCAACCUCCGCCCCCCCGGGGUUCAAGCGAUUCUCCUGCCUCAGCCUCCUGAGUAGCUGGGAUUAUAGGCACCUGCUACCACGCCUGGCUAAUUUUUGUAUUUUUAGUAGAGAUGGGGUUUCACCAUGUUGACCGGGCUGGUCUCAAACUCCUGACCUCAGGUGAUCUACCCGCCUCAGCCUCCCAAAGUGUUGGGAUUACUGGCGUGAGCCACGGUGCCCGGCUAUAGCAUCAUUUAAACUUUGUUUCUGCCAUGAAUUGUUAGUUGGUAGUUAACAAAAAAUAGACCACCUCAUUUAUGUCUCACAGUUAGCAUUGGUUUUUGUGUUUUCUUUAGGCUUGUCUUUUAACUGUUUUUAAAAUUGUGAAACACGGCCUUGUUCUGUUGCUGACGCCAGAGUGCAGUGAUACAAUCUUGGCUCACUGCAGCCUCAACCUCCUGGGCUCAAGCAAUCCUCCCCCUUUAGCCUCCUGAGUAGCUGGGACUACAAACACGGGCCACCACCGCUGGCUAAUUUUUAAUUUUUUUUUUGAAAUGGAGUUUCGCUCUGUCACCCAGCAGGUUGGAGUGCAGUGGCGUAAUCUCGGCUCACUGCAACCUCCACCUCUCGGGUUCAAGCGAUUCUCCUGCCUCAGCCUCAGCAUCCACAACCAUGCCUGGCUAAUUUUUAAAAAAUAUUUUUAGUAGCGACAGGGUUUCACCAUGUUGGCCAGUCUGGUCUUGAACUCCUGACCUCAAGUGAACCACCUGCCUUGGCCUCCCAAAGUGCUGGGAUUACAGGCGUGAGCCACCGCGCCAAGCCUAAUUUUUAAAUUUUUUGUAGAGACCAGGUUUUGCCAUAUUGUCUAGGCUGGUCUUGAACUCCUGGGCUCAAGUGAUCCUCCUGCCUUGGCUUCUCAAAGUGCUGGGAUUACAGGCAUGGCCCUUAUGCCUGGCUCUUAAAGCUGCUUUUUAAUAACAGGCUUACUAAAAGAUAAUUCACAUACCAUACAAUUUACCCAUUUCAAGUGUACAAUUUGGCCGGGCAUGGUGGCUCACACUUGUAAUCCCAGCACUUUGGGAGGCUGAGGUGGGAGGAUCGCUUGAACCCAAGAGUUUGAGAUGAGCCCGAGCAACAUGGCAAAACCCUGUCUCAACCAAAAAUACAAAAAAAUUAGCUGGGCAUGGUGGGUGUGUCUGCAGUCCCAGCUACUGAGGAGGCUGAAGUGGGAGGAUGGUUUGAGUCCGGGAGGUGGAGGGUGCAGUGAGUUGAGAUUGCACCACUGCCCUCCAUCCUCGGCAACAGAGCCAGACCCUGUCUCUAAAUAAAUAAAUAAAGUGUAUAAUUCAGUGGUUUUUAAUAUAUUCACAGAGUUGUGCAGCCAUCACCACCAUCAGUUUUAGAGAUUUUAAUUACCCGAGGAGAAACCCUGUAUCUAUUAGCAGUCACCCUUUAUUUCCCCCUGACUAUCCCCACCCCUGGCUCCUGGCAACCAUUAAUCUACUUUGUUUCUUUGGAUUUUCAUAUUCUGGGCAUACAUACAUAUAUAUGUGUGUGUGUGUGUGUGUGUGUGUGUGUGUGUGUGUAUAUAUAGAAUCAGCUACUAUUUGUCUGGCUUCUUUCACUUAGCCUAAUGGUUUCAAAGUGUAUCCAGGUUGUAGCAUGAAUCAGCUCUUCAUUCCAUAUUUUGGCUGAUUAAUGUUCCAUCCAUCACACGGGUAGACUGUACUUGUUUGCCCAUUCAUCUGUUGUUGAUAGGCAUUUGUGUUGUUGCCACCUUUUGACAAUUAUGAAUAAUUUUGCUACGAGUAUCUGUGUGUGUCUUUGUAUGAACAGGCUUGCAUAUUUUUUGAUAUGGGCAAAUGAGUACUAGUGGCGGGAGGCCUUUGUGGUGAAUUUUUUGGUGAUCUUUGUGUACUCUGUAUAAUGAUCACCCACGCAGGCUUGAGGGCAGCACUAAACCUUAAAUUUCUUUCUUUUUUUUAAGAUAGGAUCUCUCUCUCUCUGCCACCCAGGCCAGAGCGCAGUUGAUGCAGGUCAGGGGAGCCCCCCAGUGGAGCAUAGUGUGUCCAGAACUGGUGGGUUGUUGGUCUCACUGACUUCAAGAAUGAAGCCACGGACCCUCGGGGUGAGCGUCACAGUUCUUAAAGGCGGUGCGUCCGGAGUUUUUUCCUUCUGAUGCUCGGAUGUGUUCAGAGUUUCUUCCUUCUGGUGGGUUGCUGGUCUCACUGGCUUCAGGAGUGAAGCUGCAGACCUUCAAGGUGAGUGUUACAGCUCACAAAGGCAGUGUGGACCCAAAGAGUCAGCAGCAGCAAGAUUUAUUGCAAAGAGCAAAAGAACAAAGCUUCCACAGUGUGGAAAGGGACCCCAGUGGGUUGCCACUGCUGGCUUGGGCAGCUUGCUUUUAUUCUCUUAUCUGGCCCCACCCACAUCCUGCUGGUUGGUCCAUUUUACAGAGAGCCGAUUGGUUUGUUUUACAGAGAGCUGAUUAGUCCAUUUUGACAGGGUGCUGAUUGGUGUGUUUACAAUCCCUGAGAUAGACACAAAAGUUCUCCAAGUCCCUACUAGAUUAGCUAGAUAGAGAGUGUCCAUUGGUACACUCACAAACCCUGAGCUAGACACAGGGUGCUGAUUGGUGUGUUUACAAACCUUGAGCUAGAUACAGAGUGCCGAUUGGUGUAUUUACAAUCCCUUAGCUAGACAUAAAGGUUCUCCAAGUCCCCACCAGACUCAGGAGCCCAGCUGGCUUCACCAGGUGGAUCCCGCACUGGGGCCGCAAGUGGAGCUACCUGCCAGUCCCGCGCCCAGCGCCGGCACUCCUCAGCCCUUGGGUGGUCGAUGGGACUGGGCGCUGUGGAGCAGGGGGCGGUGCUCACUGGGGAGGCUCAGGCCUUGCAGGAUCCCACAGUGGGUGGUGGGGAGGCUCAGGCAUGGUGGGCUGCAUGUCCCAAGCCCUGCCCUGUGGAGAGGCAGCUAAGGCCCGGUGAGAAAUUGAGCACAGCAGCUGCUGGCCCAGGUGCUAAGCCCCUCACUGCCCAGGGCCGGCGGAACUGGCUGGCCGCUCCGAGUGUGGGGCCUGCCGAGCCCAUGCCCACCCGGCACUCGCGCUGGCCCGCAAGCGCCACGCCCAGCCCCGGUUCCCGCCCGUGCCUCUCCCUCUACACCUCCCCGCAAGCUGAGGGAGCCGGCUCCAGCCUCGGCCAUCCCAGGAAGGGGCUCCCACAGUACAGCGGUGGGCUGAAGGGCUCCUCAAGUGCUGCCAAAUUGGAAGCCCAGGCAGAGGAGACACUGAGAGUGAGCUCCAGGGCUGCCAGAACGCUGUCACCUCUCAAUAGCACAUGAGGGUUCUUGCCUUUGCCCAGGAAAGAAUUCAAGGGCAAGCUGGAGGUAUAGAAGAAAACAGCUUUAUUGAAGAGGCAGCGUUACAGCCCUGUGACUGCUCCUGUAGGGCAGGGCUACCCUGGAGGUGGAGAGUAGCGGCAGAGAGUUUGCAAUCACAUUUAUACCCACUUUUAAUUGCAUGCAGAUUAAAGGGCAGUUUAUGCAGAAAUUUCUAGAAAAUUGGUAGUAACUUUUGAGUCAUUGGGUCAUUGCCAUGGAAAGGGGCAGUAACUCCCGGGUGUUGCCAUGGCAAUAGUAAACUCACAUGGCACACUGGUGAGCAUGUCUGAUGGAAAGCUUCUUCUGUCCCAGCCCUGUUUUAGCUAGUCCUCAAUUUGGUCUGGUGUCCAAGCCCUGCCUGUGGAGUCAAGUCCUGCCUCCUAUCUUACAGUGGCGUGAUCAUGGCUCACUGCAGCCUCAACACCCCCAGGCUCAAGCAAUUCUCCCACCUCAGCCUCCUGAGUUGCUGGGACCACAGGCACGUGCCACUGUGCCCAGCUACAUUUUUUUGCAUUUUUUGUAGAGAUGGUGUUUCACUGUGUUGCCUAGGCUGGUCUCAAACUCCUGGGCUCAAGCAAUCUACCGACCUUAGCCUUCUAAAGUGCUGGGAUUACAGGUGUGAGCCGCUGCACCCAGCCCAACCUUCCAUUUUUAAUCUCAAGUCACUUCUUUCUAGGUUUUGAUUUCUUCUUUAAAAUGGUGGAACUAAGAACAUCUAUUUUAUAGGGUUGUUGGGAAGACAAAAAUGAAAGCACUGCUAUUCAAUGUUUAGUGAAGCACUAUGCACAAUUUUGAAUAAUGAAGUUGGUGUUUAUUUUUUAUUAUUUGUUUAUUUCUUAGAGACGGGGUCUUGCUCUGUUGCUCAAGCUGGAGUGCAGUGGUGCAAUCACAGCUUACUGCAGCCUUGACCUCCUGGGCUCAAGAAAUCCUGCCACCUCAGCCUCCUGAGUAGCUGGGACUACAGGCAUGCAUCGCCAUGUCUGGCUAUUUAUUUAUUUGUUUGUUUUUUAUAGAGAUGGGGUCUCCUUAUGUUGCCCGGGCUGGUCUUGAACUCCUCGCUUUAAGCAAUCCUCCUGUCUUGGCCUCCCAAAGCACUGAGAUUACAGGUGUGAACCACCAUGGCCAGCCUUAUUUUUAUUUUUAAAUCAGCCUUGUCAAGUUGAAUUGGUCAUUAAUCUUGUAUAAUGGUAAUUUGGGGCAGCAUUGGUUGGGCGGGGGGUGGGGAACAUUUAGGACCCUGUGGGCUACAACUCGUAGUGUGUGCACUUAUUUUAUUUUAUUUUAUUUAGUUUUGUUUUGUUUUAUUAUAUUAUAUUUUUUUGAGACAGGGUCUCACUCUGUUGCCCAGACUGGAGUGCAGUAGCAUGAUCUUGGCUCACUGCAACCUCUGCCUCCCAGGUUCAAGCGAUUCUCCUGCCUCAGCCUCCAGAGUAGCUGGAACUACAGAUGCACGCCACCACGCCUGGCUAAUUUUUGUAUUUUUAGUAGAGAUGGGGUUUCACCAUGUUGGCCAGGCUUGUCUCAAACUCCUGACCUCAGGUGAUACCCACCGUGCCUGGCUGUGCACUUAUGUUUGAUUUUUGCAGAACCACCCUUCCCUAAUGGUUGUCUCCUAGUUCCAAAGUGACUUUAUUCAUUUUAGAAUGAACUUACCCCAUUGAUACUGUAACCACAGUUGGCAUACAUCAUGAUUGGCAGAACUUGGUCAUGUUUAGCGAGAUGGAAGUCUUCUGGAAACUCCUUCUUGUAGACGUGGAGGUCAGGGUGCACAUUCUUCAGUGCCUGGUAAAGGGCUUCCUCUUGCCCCAAUUUGGUUAGGGGCAUCCCAAAGCCACCGUAGCCCACAAUAUCAAACUUGACACAGUCCCUGAACUUGAUGUAGUUGGACAAGGGAUCUUGUUGACAUUGGGUCUCUUCUUCACGGUGGUCAUCCCAUGGUCUCAUGUGAUGAUGACGCUGAGGUGCUCUGCAGGCUGUGCUUCUCAGUGGCUCCCACCAGAUACCCGAUGGUCCUGUUGAUUUGCUGAAUCAUCAACUUCCUGUUCUCUGCCUCUGGCCUGAAUCGAUGUCCCAUGUUAUCUGGCUCUCUGUAGUACAGAGUCACAAAGUCAAAUUCUUCCUUGGUGAACCAGUUCAAUACGGUAUCGAUGUUCUCCCUCCGCUCUGUCUCCUUGCUGUUCGGGUGAGUGUAGGACUCCACCAGGGACCGCUUGACAGCCUCACCCUCAUAUUUAGCACCUCCCCUGGAAUAGUGGGAUGAUGCUGCUUUGUUCCCCUGCAAGUACAAGAAGAAAAUUCCAUCAGGGCCAUUUCUCAUACCUUUCUCACAAUCAGCAAAGCUCGAGUUGUCUACAUUUGUACCCCAGUCCAAAGACGUAGAAAAUAUGUGGUCUUUGGAGUCAGACAAGGUGGAGUUAGAUUCUGGGCUUCCCCAGGAUCUCAUAGCAUCUACAACACUGUUAGUUACAAGAUGUGCUAUUAUUUUAUGGGCUACUAAGCAGAAAAAUGCUGCCAACGAGACCGUGACAUUCCAGUGAUUGUAAGGUGUAUUCCAACUUCAGAGAUGGCAAAAUGAAAAAUGAUUCCUUAGAAUAGAGGGAGACGGUAAUUUCUGAGUUGGUGGUGGUGAAUCCGUGCAUGUGUGUUUUUUAUAUAUAUACACACAUAUAUAUACACACACAUAUGUAUAGAUAUGUGUAUAUAUAGACAUACCUAUAUACAUACACAUAUAUAUGUGUGUAUAUAUAGUGGUGCAGUGGUACAAUCAUAGCUCAUUGCACCCUUGAACUCCUGGGCUUAAGCGAUCCUCCCACCUCAGCCUCUUGUGUAGCUGGGGCCACAGGCAUGUACCACCAUACCUUUUUUUUUUUUUUUUUUGAGACACGGUGUCACUCUCUCACCUAGGCUGGAGUGCAGUGGCACGAUCUCAGCUCGCUGCAACUUCUGACUCCUGGGUUCAAGCAAUUCUCUUGCCUCAGCCUCCCAAGUAGCUGGGAUUAUGGACACGUGCCACUAUGCCCAGCUAAGUUUUGUAUUUUUAGUUGAGAUAGAGUUUUGUCGUGUUGGCUAGGCUGGUUUCGAACCCCUGGGCUGAAGUGAUCCACCUGCCUUGGCCUCCCAAAGUGCUGGGAUUACAUGUGUGAGCCACCGCACCUAGCCCUAAUUUUUUUUUUUUUUUUUAGUGUUUGUAGAGAUGAGGUCUCGCUAAUUUGCCCAGGCUGGUCCUGAACUCCUGGGUUCAAGUAAUUCUGCCUCAGCCUCUCAAAGUACUGGGAUUACAGGUGUGAGACACCGCUCCUGGCUGGUGGUGAGUUUUAGCAUUUUCCAGUGUCUCAGUGUUUCUACCUGUAGAAUGCCAAAAAGUAGAUGGCAUCUUUGCGAGGAUUAAGCCAACUAGCUUUUUUUUUUUUUUGGAAACAGAAUUUCUCUCUUGUCACCCAGGCUGGAGUGCAAUGGCGUGAUCUUGGCUCACUGCAACCUCUGCCUCCUGGAUUCAAGUGAUUCUCCUGCCUCAGCCUCCCAAGUAGCUGGGAUUACAAAGCCAGCUAGCUUUAAGAUACAGUGUUGGGUAUCACAUUUUGGCACAAAGCAGGCAAUCUUUUCUUUGACCCCAGGUGGGACUAAGCCACCGCAAGCCUUCCCUGGUGUGUGCAGUGAGUGAUGAAUGCUUUCCUGCUCAGCACCCACUACACAGUGGGCUGGGUCUCAUUACUCUGACUCCUCCUUGAGCUUCAGUCCGUGCCUGGUUCUAGAUGUAUUGACUCAACUCGAGGAUCCAGAAGUGGGAUGUGGCUCUGGCCUGGCCAGAGGACAGAGGAUGCUGCAUGCCAUGGCUACAGCAACUGGUUCAGUUUGGGCUCAUGUCCUAGUCAGAGCCAAUGAGAUAUAAUCUUGGGAUAUCUGCUGGGCUGUUGGGAAAGGGACAGGCUGCCCUGUUCAUCCCCAUUCCUGAUGCUGAGGGAUCUGAGAAAAUCACUUGUAAAAUUUGGGGGUGUUUGGAAGAAGGGGAGACUGAUGUCUCCUUCUCUCUACAGGCAUCUGAUCAGCUACAGAGCUUGACUGACCUACCCAGAGGCAGAAUGAUAUGGUGGUUAAAAUUGUGCUCUGGGCCUGUAGGGGUGGGUUGCCUUUCCACACCUGUGGGUGUUCCUCGAAGAGGGGGAUGUGUCAGGGUCACAAGACAAUUGUGGGGAGAGGGUCAGCAGACAAACACGUGAACAAAGGUCUUUGCAUCAUAGACAAUGUAAAGGGUUAAGUGCUGUGCUUUUAGAUAUGCAUACACAUAAACAUCUUAAUGCUUUACAAAGCAGUAUUGCUGCCUGCAGGUCCUACUUCCAGCCUUAAGGCGGUUUUUCCUUAUCUCAGUAGAUGGAGCAUACAAUCGGGUUUUAUACUGAGACAUUCCAUUGCCUAGGGACAGGCAGGAGACAGAUGCCUUCCUCUUGUCUCAACUGCAAGAGGCAUUCUUUCCUCUUUUACUAAUCCUCCUCAGCACAGACCCUUUACGGGUGUCGGGCUGGGGGACAGUCAGGUCUUUCCUUUCCUACGAGGCCAUAUUUCAGACUAUCACAUGGGGAGAAACCUUGGACAAUACCUGGCUUUCCUAGGCAGAGGUCCCUGCGGCCUUCCGCAGUUUUUGUGUGCUUGGGUACUUGAGAUUAGGGAGUGGUGAUGACUCUUAAGGAGCAUGCUGCCUUCAAGCAUCUGUUUAACAAAGCACAUCUUGCACCGCCCUUAAUCCAUUCAACUCUGAGUUGACACAGCACAUGUUUCAGAGAGCACGGGAUUGGAGGUAAGGUCACAGAAUCUCAAGGCAGAAGAAUUUUUCUUAGUACAUAACAAAAUGGAGUCUCCUAUGUCUACUUCUUUCUACACAGACACAGUAACAAUCUGAUCUCUCUUGCUUUUCCCCACAUUUCCCCCUUUUCUUUUCGACAAAACCACUAUCGUCAUCAUGGCCUGUUCUCGAUGGUCGCUGUCUCUUCGGAGCUGUUGGGUACAGCUGCAGACUAACAACAGACAAAACAGGCACACAAGGAUUAAUAUGAGAUUUAUAAUUGUAGUACUUCCGAUGGUCUUAAGUGACAGGGUUAAGAUUUGCGAGGCCAUCAGCAACUCCUGCAAUUGCCUCAGUUCCUGGCACUAAAUUUAAAUGGGCUUUUGAUGCUUCAAAAAUUUGUUCUUUUAAUUUGGAAAUGUCUAAAGUGAGAUUAUCUUCUCUUCCUUGUAGAUGGCGUCUAACUAUGUCCUAGUGAUGCUCAGACUCAUUAUAAAUUUGGGGUGUAAUACAAAAAUCUGACGUAUUCCAGUCACAUUGUAACGUGAAACGAUGUUCUAAGCUCAUGAGUCUGUCUCCUAUCCAAAUGACAGUUUUUUUAAGAUCAUUAAUUUGAUUUGCCAAUUUUUGAUCAAUACUAGAUUGUGAAUUCCACAAUCUUGUAGAAUUUUUUUGCCAAUCAUUAACAAAGUUUACUGACUGAACAGAAGAGUGCAAUGCAACUUCUGCUACAGCAGCCGUAGCUGUGACUGCAAUUAAUCCUAUAAUCACUGCAAUUAAAGUAAAAAUGAAUCUUUUGGAUCUAUUUAAAACACCUUUUAAUACUUCAGUCAAAAUAUAGACGCAUGGCGAGGCCUCCUACGGUCGGUCCAUGGACACAGGGAUCCACACGCCCUCUCUUGCUCUCACUAGCAGAAUACGGUGUUGCCAAUUAAAAGUUGAAUCAAUGCAAGUAAGCAAUCUACAAUUUUCACAGGUUAUAGUCUGGGAGUCUGGUUUAAUAACUAUAUUUCCUACAACUAGCAUAUAAGGGGGCUUUACGCAACUUUGUAAAGGAAGUGUUAGACUGGAAUUUAGGUCGAUAGUAUAAAAUGGCUUAUGAUCUCUUGUUUCUAAAGUUUGAUUUCCAGACCAAAUUCUAAUGUGGUGUGAGGCCACAGUAAGCCUCCAUAAUUCUGGAUGUUCAGGACCAGAAACAGGACUUAUUAUUUUUGGUCUUGGGGUAGAGAUUCCUUUUUCUCCUCAUUCCUAAGGGUAGAAAGACUGCAAUUUUUUAUGCUUAUGUUUGUCUAAACUUUCUGUUAAGUCGCUAUCAACAGCUGGACUCACUUGUGCACUUGGACACGGCUGAGUUUGUCCUGAGCAAUUGUGGUAGAAUUGACCUCGAGGUGCCUAAUCUAUAAUAGUUCCGAAUUCAUUGUUUUGUAAUAUCACCGCACUAUUGGCCACACAUUCUUCCUAAACUAAAACUUCUGUAUUUUUUGAUUCUUUGGGAAUUUCCUUGAGGCAAGGUUUCCUUUUAGGUCUAAAUUUUAAUGAUCUUUGAUAAGAAAAGUCUUGUAAAUAAUUUACCUGUGGCCUGAGUGACAUCCCGCUUACCAUGUGAUAAGUGAAUCUACUGAUGGGACUGACAGUAGGUACUUCUACUAACCAAUUUUGGACUGCAGGCAUUAAACAUCCUGGUGCUCUCCCUAGGCAAAUAGGAGGAUAACGAUACCCAAUGGAAAUAUUUAUCAUCAUCCUUUCUUCCUCAGGUUUGGCAGGGCAGCGAUCAUCUGUGGGGCCAGGUACCCAUACACUAUCAUUAACAUAUACUUCUAUAGGAUUAUCCAUCCAUGUGACUGCCCAAAUUAAGGGCGGGAAAGGCACUUAGGCCCAGUAGGUAUAGUUAGCUGCAGCUGCUCCUGCAGGCAUAGGGAGACUUACCACCAUUGAUACAAUCAUCAAGGCUGCAAGCAGCAUACUCUCUGGGGUUUGUGUCACCUUUGUGUUCUCUAGAUAUUUUGUAGCUAACUGUGUCAGCUUCUUUAGUUGUGCCCAAGUCGGUGGCUCUGCCUUCUUGGUGGAUGGCAACUUCAUCUCUUCUUCUGACGUCACCAUUUUGUUCAUCUUGUGAGUCAACGGUGCUCGAUUGUGGUGUCUCCGUCUCCACGGAUGUGCUUUUCUUUGCAUCUCUGAUGAGUUCAUUGUAGAACUUCAAAUGUCUAGUGGGUAUCCAAACAGGAAGCUGAUUUUCUCCUGGUGAAACACAAGCAAAACCUCUCCCCCACAUUAUCACCUUCCUUAUUUCCCAUGUCUUAUUUUUAUUAUCUUUCCACCAAAUUAGUUUUCCUUCAUGUGGGCUGUUCUUUUUAGCAGUAAGAUGUUGUUCUGCAGAAGUAGUAGUCUAAUUUCUAUAAAUGUUUAAAAAAUGUAAAGUAUAGAGUGCUAGAUUAAGUUGCAUCUGAGGAGUGGUACACUCCUUACUGUCUCCCCCUUCUUUUUGUUUAACUAAUUGAGUUUUGAGUGUUCUAUUAGUUCUUUCAACUAUGGCCUGUCCUUGGGAAUUAUAAGGAAUUCUUGUUGUAUGUGAAAUUUUCCACUGACUUAAGAACUUUUGGAAAGCUUUACUACAAUAUCUUUGUCCAUUGUCAGUUUUGAUUUUUUCUGGAACUCCUAUUACAGCAAAAUAAGACAAUAAAUGUUUUUUAACAUGGGAAGUAUUUUCUCCUGUUUGGCAAGUUGCCUAUAUGAAAUGUGAAUAAGUAUCAACUGUUACAUGAACAUAUGAUAAUCUUCCAAAUGAAGGAACAUGCGUGACAUCCAUUUGCCAUAAUGCAUUAGGACACAGACUUCUGGGAUUAACUCCUGCCUCUUGGGUGGGCAGGUGUAAGAUUUGACACUGGGUGCAAUGUUGUACAAUAUCUUUUGCCUGUUUCUAUGUGACAUCAAAUUUGUUUUUUAAUCCUGCUGCAUUUACAUGAGUCAAAGCAUGAAGUUCUUGUGCUUUUAUGAAUGCAGAUGAUACCAGUAAGUCAGCUUGUUCAUUUGCUUUAGUCAAAGGCCUUGGUAAAUUAGUGUGUGCUCGAAUAUGAGUAAUAUAAAAUGGGAAAUUUCUUUUUCUUACAAUUUGUUGUAAUAAAUUGAAUAGCUGGUUUAACUGAUCAUCCAUGCUAUAUUUAAUUAGAGCUGUCUUAACAUCCUUUGUAACCUGUACUACAUAUGCAGAAUCUGAUAUAAUAUUGAUAGGUUGGUCAAAAUCUUGUAACACUGUAAUGACUGCAACCAACUUUGCUCUUUGAGUCGGUUGAUAUGGAGUUUUGAUUACUCGUUCUUUCGGCCUUGUGUAAGCUGCUUUUCCAUUGCUGGAACCAUCAGUAAAUACUGUUAGAGCAUUUUCUAAAGGUUCACAUCUGGUAAUUUUAGGUAGAAUCCAAGUAGUCAAUUUUAAGAACUGGAAGAUUUUUGUUUUUGGGUAAUGAUUAUCAAUAAUUCCUACAAAAUUAGCAAGACCAAUCUGCCAUGCACCAGAAUUGAUAAAGGCUUGUCUAACUUGUUCCUUGGUUAAAGGGACAACUAUUUUGUCUGGGUCAUUUCCACAUAAUUUUAUUAUUCAUAAUCUUGUCUGACCAAUUAAUGUAGCUAUUUGAUCCAAGUACAAUGUAAAAGUCUUAACUGUACUGUGAGGAAGGAAUGACCACUCCACAAGAUCAGUAUUUUGAAUAAUGAUGCCUGUUGGAGAAUGUGCAGUGGCAAAAAUUAAAAGAUGGAGUGGGGCUAAGGGAUCUAUUCUAUUUAUUUGCGCUGACUGAAUUUUUUCUUCCACUAAUUUAAUUUCUUUUGUUGCCUCUGGGGUUAACAUUCUUUUACUAUUUAAGUCUGAGUCUCCUCUUAAGAUAGAGAACAAAUUUGACAUGGCAUAAGUAGGAAUGCCUAGAGUUGGCCGAAUCUAAUUAAUAUCUCCUAGCAAUUUUUGAAAAUCAUUUAGUGUUUUUAAUGUGUCUUUUCUUAUUUCUAUUUUUUGUGGCUUAAUUUUUCUAUUUUCUAUCUGCAUUCUUAAAUAAUGAAAAGGAGUAGAGGUUUGGAUCUUAUCAGAUGCUAUUGCCAGACCUGCAUUGGCAACUUCUGCUUGCAGAAAUGUAUAACAGUCAAUUAAUUUAUCUUUCGUUUCUGCAGCACAUAAAAUAUCAUCAAUAUAAUGAAUAAUAUAACAGUCUGAAAACUUUUCUUUAACUGGUUGAAGAGCUCGACCUACAAAAGUCUGACAAAUAGUUGGACUAUUAAGCAUUCCUUGAGGUAACACUUUCCACUGAAACCUGGUGGCUGGUUCUUUAUUAUUUAUGGCUGGUAUAGUAAAGGCAAAUUUUUCACAAUCUUGCUCCACCAGAGGGAUGGUAAAAAAGCAAUCCUUUAGAUCAAUUAUAAUUAAAGGCCAGUCUUUUGGGAUCAUGGCCGGAGAGGGCAACCUAGGUUGGAGAGGCCUCAUGGGUUGAAUUACGGCAUUUAUGGCCUUUAAGUCAGUUAACAUACGCCAUUUGCCUGAUUUCUUCUGAAUUACAAACACAGGAGAAUUCUAAGGCAAGAAUGAAGGCUCAAUAUGACCUUUUUCUAACUGUUCAUUUGCUAAUAAAUGUAAAGCCUCCAGUUUUUGUUUUGGUAGCGGCCACUGAUUUACCUACACCAAUUUUUCUGUUUUCCAAGUUAAUGGUAUGGGUUUAGGAGGCUCUACAGUGGCCGCCCCUAAAAAGGAUACCCUAUUCCUUCUCUUUUUUGAUUUAUUUUAGCCUCAACUGGAACUUUAAUGCCAUCUUCAUUUUUCCUUAGUCCUUUUCCUGGUAUAUAUCCUAUCUUGGUCAUGAUUUUUUGACUCGUGGGGCUAUAUAAUGGAGCGGGCAUGGUGAUUUCUGCACCCCAUUGUUGUAAUAAAUCUCAACCUCACAGAUUAAGAGGAAUUGAAGUAAUCAUUGGCUGAACAGUACUUUCUUGAUUAUCUGGCCCUAAGCAAUGUAAAAUCUCAGUACUUUGAUACACUUCUGAGGCUGUGCCUAUGCCAACAAGUCCUGUAACAGCCUUUUGUUUAGGCCAAUUUUUUGGCCACUGAUUUAAAGCAAUGAUGGAGACAUCUGCUCCAGUGUCUACUAACCUUUCAAACUGUUUUCCUUGAAUAAUGGCCUUACACACAGGUCUGUUCUCUGAGACCUGACUUGCCUAAUAUGCAGCCUUUCCUGUUGGAUCAGUGCUUCUAAACCCUCCUAUUCUUUUUAUUUCACUAUUUCCACCCUUAAUAUAUGGCAGGAGUAAUAAUUGAGCAAUCCUGUCUCCUGGACUGGCACCUCAAGGAAUUGAAGAGCUAAUAACCAAUUGAAUUUCGCCUUUAUAGUCUGAAUCAACUACACUAAUAUGAAUUUGAACUCCUUUUAGAUUUAGACUUGAUCUUCCUAAGAUUAGUCCUACAGUCCCCUCAGGCAGUGGGCCAUAUACCCCUGUGGGGAUUUUUUGUGGGGACUCCCUUGGAAGCAGAGAGACUGCUUGUAUAGUACAUAAAUCUACUGCUGCACUGCUGCUUGUGGCGGGGGACAAUUGUUGUAUUGUGGUAACUGGCUUAUUCCUUGAAACACUUGGGACAGGGGGGGUUGUUGUCCCUGAAAACUUUGAGGAACAAAUGGCUGAAUUGGGAAUGCCCCAGUUUGUUGUGGGGCCUGAGGCUGGCCUCUUUGCUCGUUUCCUGACAAUGGUUGCCUAUUUUUAUCAAAUUUAGAAUGACAUUGACUAGCCCAAUGUUUUCCUUUUUUACAUCUUGGACAUAAGUCAGGUGGCUCUCUACCUGUUGUAGUUGCUUGAAUAGUUAUAUUCUGUUUGUUUAAGACUGGGCAAUUCUUUUUUAAGUGACCAAUUUGACCACAAUUAUAACAUUUUCUUCUAAAUGUUCUAACUUGUCCUCCUAAAACAACUCCUGUUAUUGCUUGAGCCAUAAGCAUAGCUUUAUGCAUAUCUCCUCCGAUUCCAUCACAGGCUUUUACAUAUUCUGAGAUUACAUCUGAUCCUGUAGGAACCUUUCCUUUUAAUGGCUUAAUGGCUGAUUGACACUUAGGAUUGGCGUUUUCAUAUGCCAUCAACUCCACUAUGACCUUACGGGCUUUUUCAUCGGCAAUUGACUUUUGAGCAACAUCUUGGAGCCUUGCCACAAAAUCAGGGUAGGGCUCUUUCGAACCUUGUCUUACUGUAUUAAAUGAGGGGCAGGCGCUUCCUGGGUCUUGGAUUUUUUCCUAGGCUCUAAGGCAGAUAGCUCUAACUUGCUCAAUGGCCUCAUUUUGCAUUAAUGCUUGUUGACUAAUAGUACUCCAAUUUUGACCUGUUCCUAAUAGUUGAUCUGCAUCUAUGUUAACUGGAGGAUUGGCAGCCCUAUUUCUUCGGACCUGUUCUUGUACUCUAUCAAUCCACCAAGUCUUAAAUUGUAAAAAUUGAGAGGGUGAGAGAGACGAUUUUGCCAGAAUCUCCCAAUCAUAAGGAAUGAGUCUAUGUCCAUGAGCAAUGGAAUCUAAUAAUGUCCUCAUAUAAGGGGAGUUGGGUCCAUACUGUUUUACUCCCUCUUUCAUAUCUUUUAGCAUUUUUAUCGAAAAAGACUUGUAUCUGGCCUCAACUGUGGGAGGCUCUCCCUCUUGGGCUCCUUCUCCAGUUGGCAUCGGUUCUAAUGUUACUGGGAAUUGCCACGCCUCAGUAUCUCCUUCCUUUCUUGAUUUAUCAAUAAUUUCAUGUAAUUCACUACCCUGUCUACUAGGUGGUGCCAUAGGAUUAAGUCUCCUAGUGGGCAGCUGAGGGUAUGGCGCCCUGCCCUGUGGUGCUGGGGGCAUUCCUGGAUAUCCAUACUGACUUUCUGGGGGUGGCCGAUACUGAAGUUCAGCCGGCGGCCAGUAUUGAUAAGCUUCUGGCGGUUGGGUCUUAUUUUCUUUAACCUGCAUUUGAGGUUGUAAUGUUACAGGCACCUGACCUGCUGGAAGAGGACUUGUGCCUCAUGGUUUAGACUCUGAUGGCCCCACUAAUUCUGGACCUUUUCCUUCUAAUUUUAACGUUUCAGGUUAUAUCACCUCUUGUAAUUGAUUAUAGUCAACAUUUUGCGUUGACUGAGCCAUUACCGGCUCUGCUACAUAUUCGCAAUGUAAACUUUCCGUUUCUUUCUGGGAUUUUUUCCUUGUCUUUUCAUUACAAUCUAUUAAACAGCUUCCAGGGGCAUCAGAAACUGAAACGCUAUCUUCUUCUGUUUGAAAUGGUUCUAAAGCUGCUUUAAUAAUGGCCCAAUCAUUCCAUACUGUAAGUGGAAUGAUAUUACCCUUCCUACCUGCUUGUUUUAGUUCCUUACCAAUUCUUUUCCAAUCUUUUAGAUCUAAAGUUCCUUGUUCUGGAAACCAUGGGCAAAAUUGUUCUAUUAUUUGAAAUAGCUUGAUUAGAUUUUUUGUAGAUACUUUAACUCCCCCUCUUUUUAAAAGAAUUUUAAUAAAGCUGAGAUGAGAGGCAUAUUUACUUUUAAUUUUACUUUUAGUUUGCCCCAUUAUCACCUUAGCUUCUUCUGAGCACACAAGCUUACCGUAAGGCUGACUGUAGACGUACUUGGGAUCUCUCGUCGACUUGUCCUCAAUGACCACGCUCGAGCGUACCUUCACCCUAGAGAAAAGCCCCACGUUGGGCGCCAGAUGUAGGGGUGGGUUGCCCCUCCACACCUGUGGGUGUUCCUCGAAGAGGGGGAUGUGUCAGGGUCACAAGACAAUUGUGGGGAGAGGGUCAGCAGACAAACACGUGAACAAAGGUCUUUGCAUCAUAGACAAUGUAAAGGAUUAAGUGCUGUGCUUUUAGAUAUGCAUACACAUAAACAUCUCAAUGCUUUACAAAGCAGUAUUGCUGCCCGCAGGUCCCACCUCCAGCCCUAAGGCGGUUUUUCCUUAUCUCAGUAGAUGGAGCAUACAAUCAGGUUUUAUACUGAGACAUUCCAUUGCCUAGGGACAGGCAGGAGACAGAUGCCUUCCUCUUGUCUCAACUGCAAGAGGCAUUCUUUCCUCUUUUACUAAUCCUCCUCAGCACAGACCCUUUACGGGUGUCGGGCUGGGGGACAGUCAGGUCUUUCCCUUCCCAUGAGGCCAUAUUUCAGACUAUCACAUGGGGAGAAACCUUGGACAAUACCUGGCUUUCCUAGGCAGAGGUCCCUGCGGCCUUCUGCAGUUUUUGUGUCCUUGGGUACUUGAGAUUAGGGAGUGGUGAUGACUCUUAAGGAGCAUGCUGCCUUCAAGCAUCUGUUUAACAAAGCACAUCUUGCACCGCCCUUAAUCCAUUCAACUCUGAGUUGACACAGCACAUGUUUCAGAGAGCACGGGGUUGGGGGUAAGGUCACAGAAUCUCAAGGCAGAAGAAUUUUUCUUAGUACAUAACAAAAUGGAGUCUCCUAUGCCUACUUCUUUCUACACAGACACAGUAACAAUCUGAUCUCUCUUGCUGUUCCCCACAGGGCCGAGAUCUUGCCACUGCACUCCAGCCUGGGUGACAGAGUGAGACUCCAUCUCAAAAAAAAAAAAAGUGUGCUCUGGGCUGGGCGCAGGGGCUUACAACUGUAAUCCCAGCACUUUGGGAGGCUGAGGCAGGAGGAUCGCUUGAAGUCAGGAGUUUGGGAUCAGAUCCUAUCUCUAGAAAAAUGAUUUUUAAAAAUUAGCUGGGUUGGUGGUGAAUGCCUGUAGUCCCAGCUACUCAGGAGGCUGAGGCAGGAAGAUUGCUGGAGCCCGGGAGUUCAAGGCUGCAGUGAGCUAUGAUCAGGCCACUGCACUCCAGUUUGAGGGACAGAGAGAGAUCCCAUCUCCCUAAAGAACAAAAAAGUGUGCUCUGGUGCCACACUGCCUGGUUAGAUCCUUUGUCCACCACUUAGAUGCAUGUUAUAUAAAUGCUGUCUUCAAUUUCCUCAUCUGUAACUUGGGGAUGAUAAUGCUGUCCCAUGAAGUGGUUGUGGGGACUAAAUGUACGUGGGCACAUUGGUAAGUAUUCAACAAGCUUGAUUUUUCCUGGAGAGGGAGAAAGAGCAUACAGUGAAGUGGCAUGGUCAGGUGCAUUGGGGCAAGGAUUAUUUCCUCUGGCUUCUGCCUCCUGGGAGGUACUAAGGAUGGAUCUGAAAUGUGUCUGCAGACCCCAGAGUUGGGGACUGCAGAGGGAAAUUGAGAUCAGGGACCCCAGUCUGGCAGAAAUGGGUGCAGCAUGGGGCAUUGGGUUCCUUCCAUCAGAGGCAUGGGGUGUGUUGCAGACAGUCAUGAGAUGUGGCUGAAUCUUGCAAGGGAGCCACUGUCCUAGGGUUGCUGCUUGAGACAAAGACCACUGUCAGUGGAACCUGGUGACCUUCACCCUUCUGUGUCAGGCUGCAGACAGCAAGAGAUGGCAGCAGAUUACACCCAACAGGAAAAGGGCCAUUGCUAUCCCACAGGUUGCCAUAGGAGGGGAUGAUAUCUCUUCCCUCUCCUCCUCCAGCAGUGUCAGCUGGGGAAGAGGUGGGUUGGUGUGCACAAAAGAGUAGACCGCAGACCAUGCUGCUUCUCCUCCAGUCUGCUGGGGCCCCAAGAGAGUCUGCAGCCCUUGGCCAGGGACCGGCUGACACAGGAGAACAAAAGAUCUCAGGCUGGGAUAACAUGGUGGUGCAGUUCAUCCUCUGGAGCUCCCUGUGAGAUCAGACUGGAGCCAGUCUCCAGCUGAGACCACAUCUCACUUAGCUCCUUCCCUGCCAUAUCCUGUUUUCCUUACUCCUAUCUCCUGAGAGUCCUGAAUGAAUUACAUGCACUCAAUCCGUGCCUCAGGCUCUGUUUUUCGGGAACUUGACCUAAGACAGAUAUCUUAGUACUAAAUACUUUGCAAGGCUUCAGAAGCUCUGCUAUCCACAGGCAGGUGAGAUAUUACCUUCCCUACCACCUGGCAGUCAUAGUCUAUGAUGCAACUCAGCUUUGUGGAAGUGCUUCUCUAAAGAACUUCCCCCAAUUUAAGAUGAUCUUAAUUUGCUUACUUGUUUACUGUCCAUUCAGCUGCUCUAAAAUGUGAGCUCCAAAUCAGGGACCAUGUCUGGUUGGUUACCCAUUUCCUGGGACCUAGAACGGGCCUAGCUCAGAGCAGGUGCUCACUAUUGAUGGAAUGCAUGUUGAAAGAAUGCAUGAAUCUCAUCUCCUUUUGUGGGUGAAAAUCUCAUCCUAUUCUCACUCCUGAUUAACUUUCUUUCUUUUUUUUUUUUCAAAACGGAGCCCUGAUCUGUCACCCAGGCUGGAGUGCAAUGGUGCCAUCUCAGCUCGCUGCAACCUCUGCCUUCUGGAUUAAAGCAAUUCUCCUGCCUCAGCCUCCCGGGUAGCUGGGAUUACAGGUGCACACCACCACGCCCGGCUAAUUUUUUGUAUUUUUAAUAGAGACAGGGUUUUGCCAUGUUGGCCAGGCUGGUCUCAAACCCCUGACCCUGUGAUCUGCCCGAUUUGGCCUCCCAAAGUCCUGGGAUUACAAACAUGAGCCACCGUACCCAGCCACUCUUGAUUAACUUAAUGGAAAUAUUUAGAGAUUCUUUCUUUUCUGGGUUCUAGAGUCUUCUCUGUAACCUCUGCAGGUAAUACAUUUUCCUUCCUGAUAAAGCAUUUCUAUGGUUGCUUUCACUUGCAAAUCCUCUAAUACUUAUUUAUUCCAUUUCUGAUUGGCAUUAGACAUAAUUCUCAAUUUUUAGUGACAGCACUUUUGUUAACUUACAUAUAAAUCGACUUUGCCUUGAAAUGUGACAUUGACUAGAAGGACGACACUUCUAACAUGUUGUAGAACAUAGUUUGACUGGCUAAUUUAUUAUUUAGAAGAAGCUAAUAUUGCCAUUAUGAGGGACUUAGGUGGCUCUGAAGAACAAGUUGUAUUUCUGAUGUUUGCAAUGUUAAAUCACAGAUAUUGCCAAUGUGAAAUAGUUUCCGUAUGCUGUGUUCUCAAUACACACCUUUUCCAAGGAUAUCCCAAGCUGUAGUCUUAGGAAACUGUGAUUUUUCUUAUUUGGUCUCAUAGGAAUUUGGGGAGCUAUGCGGGAUCUCCAUAAAAUGAGCUCCAGAAAGACACAUGUGUGCGCGCACACACACACACACACACACACACACUCACACAUGUACCGCACCACAAUUGAAUCUGUUUAUUUGGGACCCAUGAUUAUUUUCAACAAACACUUCUGAGAAAUAAUCUGAACACUUAAUUGGAUGCAAAAGAGUGAGUAUUUACUAUUCUACCCUUUAAUUAGCAUAAUCAAUGUUUCCAGCAGCAAAAGCAAUUGGAAAAUCGCUAGUUUUAUUAGGUUCAUUAUUCUCCCUUAGCGUAGUGUGGCAUCAGCAUGGCUAUUAUUCUUAAAUUGCCUCCUUAAAACAAGGGCUGGUGCUUCUUACAGGCCAUUCCUAACUCUUGGGUUUUGUAGAGAGUCCAAAACUCUUUAGAACCUAUAAUUCAAGGAAAGGCUCCACUUUGGUUUUGCAUUUUGUCUGGUCUCUUUGGCUGACAGAAUUUAUGUCAAAAGGUGCACAUGUUUGUGGGAGGCUCAUGGACAGCCCAUCACGUUUGUGCUUUGGUAGGAAGUACGUGCCAUUAAGGGGAAGGAGUUAGUUACUGAUUCUAGGGAACAAUUGGGUAGAAAGAGAUGGACUCCCUGUGUUUGAAAUUCAGAACUCAAGCUUGGCUCUAAGUGUUUCCUUGCUUUGCUGUGCUCCAGGGGAGUCCUUGAGCAGAAGGAAGCAAGUUGCCUGAGAUUCUUCAAAGCCCGCAGCCCUUUUGGAGGUUAGAUGGUUAUUCUCAGAGCCUUUAUGAUGCAUAAUAAAGACCUAGCUUGGACCAAUAUUAGGAUGAGUUAUCUUGCUAUUAACAUUCUUUUAGGUAGAAGUUGCUGGUCCCAUCUUGCUCACAAUCCUCCAAAGUUUGAAAGUUAUUUUCCAGGAGACUUGGCUUGCACUGAGAGCUGCCCUCCCACCCUCUCUCCAAAUUUCCUCUUGGGGGUAGCCUAACAAGGUGCUGUCACAGACCCUUGUCGGCCACGAUGACCCCACCCAGACCAUCCCUCUGCUGUUUCACUCUUUGAUAGUCUCUGGAGCUCUCUGGGGAGGGGUGAGACCUGCCGUCUAGUUUGUAUGGUUUGCCCAGGUCUUACAGUCAUGGCUGGCUGCCUCUCUCUGAGAACUAGAACUCCUGAACUUGGUGAAAGACCUCAGCCAUCGAUCAUGUUGAAUUAUCGGGGACACUCAUUUGAAAUCCGAGCCUGUUCCAGAUAGACUCUCUCUCUUUCUGCCCUGACCGUGAGAGAAGCCCUGCUGGACGGUGGAGACACUCGUGGGCUGUGAGCAAGGGAUGCAAAGGCUGCCGGGAAUCCCAUCUUUCCAGCAUCAUCUGCCAAGGCACAUUAGUUCCUGGGUAUCUGGAUGGGUUCUAGCAGCAUUACUGUCAUUGAAGGAAAAAUUUUAGCCAUAUUAAAGGUUAAUGCAGCAAUCUCCACAUAGGCUGCCUGGAAGGGAAGCAGGACAAGGUUAGGUUUUCCUUGUGAUGGACAGGAGGCAGGCGGCCCUCCCACAGCCCUGCCUGGCAAUACAGAUGUGUCCCCAAAAGGCACUGGGGGCCAGCUGGAGUGCUAUGCCGAGGCGGACUGACCCGGGCCGUGGGUUCACUCUGCUGGCAGCGGUUUCCCGCCAGCUCCUUGCAGAGUUGGCAGAUGGCCCAGCCCCACAGCAGGAGCCGGGAAUGGCAGAACGAGACACAACAAUUUGAUAUCCACUUGCCAGAUGAGCCGGGUGUCAUCAGUCGCCUGGCUCUAUGCCCAACCUCUUUUUGCAUAAACACUUAUGGAUUCAGCCAAGAGGAAAAGCACUCUGAUUAUGAAUUGAGCAGAAGGAAACAAAGUUCUGCAGAUAAACACCAAUGAAACAAAAAACCACGAAUAAGAAAAAUGACAGAAAAGGAGAACCUUCCCAGAAUCCUCCUGCCAGUGAACGGUCACCAGAGCAAGAGCAUGGAGUCCCUGGGUUUUGAACUGUGAGAUAAGGAAGAUGAUGAAAACCUCCCUAGCAGCCAGGUUGUCACUCUGUCACCCAGGCUGGAGUGCAGUGGUUCAAUAUUGGCUCACUGCAGCCUCAACCUCCUGGGCUCAAGCAGUCCUUCCACAUCAGCGUCCUGAGUAGCUGGGACUGCAGCUCCUCCCACUGAAGAAUUGGAGUAUAUUUCUCCAGCCCCUAAUGUUGCAUUUAGUCACAUGUCUAGCUUUGGCCACUGGAAUAUUAAUCUACAUGACCAAAAACUUGGAAAGUGUGCAUUCAUUUGUGCUCACUCACUCCUGCUAUCACCAAAAGAACAAGCCCAGGCCAGACUGCUGCUUCCAGCAGAAGAUAAGAGACACCAAGAGCAAAGUCAAGCUUCCCAGACACGCUCAUGCCAGAUUAACCAAUCCUCAGCUGACCCAUAGAUCCAUGAAAAUAAACAAUUGUUGUAUUAAGCCACUGAGAUUUGGAGUGACUUGUUAUGCAGCAUUUUGUGACAACAACUAACUGAUACAAGGGUCACCAUCCUUUAUCUCUGUAGAUUUUAACCAAUUUUUAAUAGCUAAUUGGAGAUCUUCUAGUUGCCUUUAUUUAUAAUGAAUACGACUGUAGAGCUAGUUUGGCCUGACACUACCAGUAACCUACCCAGAAAUUCAGAAAUACUUUCUUCUCCAACCUCCCCAACCAACCUUUUUGUUUGUUUGUUUGUUUCUGGGUUCUCCCCCUUUGCCUAGGCUAGAGUAGAAGUGGUACAGUCAGAGGCAAACAGUUUGCCACUGUAACCUCAAAAUCCUGGGCUCAAGUGAUCUUCCCCUUCAGCCUCCUGUCUAGCUAAGACUACAGACAUGUGCCACCAUGCCUGGCUAAUUUUUUUAUUAUUUGCAGAGACAGGGUCUCACUAUAUUGCCCAAGUUGGUUUCAAACUCCUGGCCUCAAGCAGUCCUCCUGCCUCAUCCUCCCAAAGUGCUAGGAUUAUAGGCAUGAGCCACCACACCCAGCCUCUUCUUCUUUUUAAAUAGAAACCCUAUUUUAUUCUGACAGUGGGUUGCUUUCUUUUUUUUUUUUUUUUUAAGAAAAAGUUGGCCCAGCCCCAGGGAAUAAAUCGUGACUGUUCUAAACAGGGUUGGCAAACUAUAGACCAAGGGCCAAAUCUGGCCCUCUGACUGUUUGUAUAAAUUAAGUUUUACUGGAAUAAACCCAGGUCCAUUCAUUUAUGCCUUGUCUACAUAUGCUUUUAGGCUAUGAUGGCACCACUGCGUCACUGCAACAGAGGUUAUCUAGACCAAAAGCCUAAAAUAUUACCGUUUGCCUCUUUAUGGAAAAAGUUUGCCAUUCCCUAGUCUAAGGUUUAGAUUCUGAGCUUAUCAUUUUAGCCUAAUCCCCCUUACCAGUGACUGGCUCAAAACAAGUCUGUGAUUCCAUUCUGACAGUUCUACUGAGGGAAUUCCCCCUUCUUCUCAUGCAGAGCUGAUGAGGGCAGUUUGUAUUAAUAGGACAUAUGCUCAGGUUUUCUGAAAAAUACUUUUAUCUAGAAAUGCAUAGGAAUAUGCUGAGGCCUGAGUGUACCAUCUGGGGGCCUAGAGAUUGACUCACCUGCCUCCAGAGCUAGCGCUCACACUUACUACUGAGAGGCCUGAGUAAACACCUGUCUACCCACCACCAGAACCUGCACACAUCACCUGGAGAACUAUAGAUCAGACUGCCACACACGCCACCCAGGAGCCCAGUGGCGCACCUGCCCGCCUGGCCCAGUGCUGCCACUGCCAGCAACCAAAGAAGCCACCUGGGGGCCCAAGGAUUGGCCCACGUAGACAGGCUAUCAUCAGUGCCCAUAUACACUGCCCAUGGUCCCUAGUAUUGACAAACCUGGUCCACCACCACUACCACUGAUGCUGAAGGACAAGACUUCCUGGCAUCCCCAUCCUCAGCAAAGCCUCAUCACAGCCUCAAAUAACAACUGCAGUCUGGCCAGGUGUGGUGGCACACGCCUGUAAUCCCAGCACUUUGAGAGGCCGAGGUGGGUAGAUCGUGAGGUCAGGAGUUUGAGACCAGCCUGGCCAACAUGGUGAAACCCCGUCUCUACUAAAAAUACAAAAAUUAGCUGGGCAUGGUUGCACAUGCCUGUAGUCCCAGCUACUCAGGAGGCUGAGGCAGGAGAAUCACUUGAACCCAGGAGGCAGAGGUUGCAGUGAGCUGAGAUUGUGUCACUGAACUCCAGCCUGGUGACAGAGCUAGACUCCAUCUCAACAACCACACACAAAAAAAAAAAAAAAAAAACACAAAACUGCAGUCUAAGCCACUGAAUGACUCACAGACACCACUCAUGCCAAUUACAGCUGAAGAAAUCAUAUGCAGACUAUGCCACUGUACCCACCCAGAAUCAAAGCCAAAGUGUGAUAUCCAAUGAAUACUGUAGCUACAGCUAUAAGAAAAGGUUUUCCCAUAUAAAAGCCAAUCCAUAAAAUUGGAAGAAGUGACUGUUAUGUCAAAGGCACAGAUAGUCACAUAAGGAUGCAAGAAAGAUGAAAAAGGAAACAUAACAUCUCCAAAGAAGCACAAUAAUUCUCCAGCAACAGAUUCCAAAGAAAAGAAAAUCUAUGAAAUGACUGAGAAAAAUUCAAAAUAAUGUUAUUAAAGAAAGUCAGGGAGAUACAAGAGAACACAGAUAAUGAAUAUAAAAAGUCAGGAAAACAAUUCAUGAUCUGAAUGAGAAAUUCAACAGAGAUAGACAGCAUAACAAAGAACCAAACACAAAUCCUGGAAAAGAAUAAAUCAUUGAAAGAAAUACAAAAGAUAAUUGACAGCUUUAACAAUAGACUAGAUCAAGCAAAACAAAGAAUUUCUGAACCUGAAGCCUAGUCUUUUAAAAUAAUCCAGUCAGACAAAAAGAAAGAAAAAAGAAUGAAGGAAGGCUACAUGAUAUAUGGGACACAUAUGUGACCAAAAACUGAAAUUCUGGGAGUUCUGGAUGGAGACGAGAUGGGUAAAGGCAUAGAAAACCCAUUUAAUAAAAUAAUAACUGAAAACUUCCUGAAAGCUUCCAAAUACAGGAAGCUCAAAGAUUACCAAAUAAAUACAACUCAAAGAGAUCUUCUCCAAGGCACAUUAUGGUAAAAUUGUCAAAAGACAAAGAGAAAAUGCUGAAAACAGCAAGAGAAAAGCAUGAAGUCACUUAGAAUCUCCAUCAGGCUAACGGGAUUUCUCAGCAGAAACCUUGCAGGCUAGGAGAAAAGGGGAUGUAUACUACAAGUAAAAAAAAGAAAAAAAAAAUGUAAGCCAAAAAUACUAUACCCAGCAAAGAUAUCCUUCACAAAUGAAGGAGCCUGGCACAGUGGCUCACAUCUGCAAUUCCAGAGACUCAGAAGGCUGAGGCAGGAGGAUUAUUUGAGCCCAGGAGUUCAAGGCUGCAGUGAGCUAUGAUCAUGCGACUGUACUCCAGCCUGGGUGACAGAGUGAGACUCCAUUGCUAAAAAAAGAAAUACAUAAAUAAAAGAGAAAAAGAGUAUUUCCCAGAUAAGAAAAAGACUGUUUGUUUGGGUCUUGUUUGUUGUGGUCCUAGAAGAAAUGCUUAAGGGAGUCCUACAUUGGGAAGCAAGAGAACAAUAUCUACCAUCAGGAAAAUACAUGAAAGUAUAAAAUUCACUGGCAGAGCAGACACACAAAGAAGAAAGGAUUCAAACAACACCACUACAGAAAACCACCGAACUGCAACCAUAAAUAAUGAGAGAAAAAAAGAACAAAGGUGUAUUAGUCUGUUUUCACACUGCUGAUAAAGACAUACCUGACUGAGACUGGGCAAUUUACAAAAUAAAGAGGUUUAAUGGACUUACACUUCCACAUAGCUGAGGAAACCUCACAAUCAAGUUGGAAGGCAAGAAGAAGCAAGUCAUGUCUCACAUGGAUGGCAGCAGGCAAAGAGAGAGCUUCUGCAGGGAAACUACCCUCUUUAAAACCAUCAGACCUUGUGAGAUGUAUUCACUAUCAUGAGAACAGCAUGGGAAAGACCUGCCCCCAUGACUCAAUUGCUUCCCACCAGGUCCCUCCCACAACAUGUGGGAAUUCAAGAUGAGAUUUGGGUGGGGACACAACCAAACCAUAUCAUUCUGUCCCUGACCCUUCCCUAAUCUCAUAUCCUCACAUUUCAAAACUAAUCAUGCCUUCCCAACAGUCCCCCAAACUCUUAACUAAGUUCAGCAUUAACUCAAAAGUCCACAGUCCAAAGUCUCAUGUGAGACAAGGCAAAUCCCUUCUGCCUAUGAGCAUGUAAAAUCAAAAACAAGUUAGUUACUUCCUGGAUACAAUGGGGGUAUACGCAUUGGGUAAACACAGUCAUUCCAAAUGGGAGAAAAUUGCCAAAACAAAGCGGCUACAGGCCCCAUGCAAGCCCAAAAUCCAGUAGGGCAGUCAAAUCUCAAAGCUCAAAAAUGAUCUUCUUUGACUCCAUGUCUCACAUGCAGGUCAUGCUGAUGUAAGAGGUGGGCUCCCAUGGCCUUGGGAGAAAAAAGGCCACAGCCCCACUCCUGUGGCUUUGUAGGGUAUAAACCCCCUCCUGCCUCCUUUCAUGGGUUGGCAUUGAGUGUCUGCAGCUUUUCCAGGCACACAGUGCAAGCUGUCAGUGAAUCCACCAUUCUGCGGUCUGGAGGAUGGUGGCCCUCUUCUCACAUCUCCACUAGGUGGCGCUGCAGUAGGGACUCUAUGUGGGGGCUCCGACCCCACAUUUCCCUUCUGCACUGCCCUAGUAGAGGUUCUCCAUGAGUGCCCUGUCCCUGCAGCAAACUCCUGCCUGGACGUCUAGGCAUUUCCAUACAUCUUCUGAUAUCUAGGCAGUGGUUCCCAAACCUCAAUUUUUGACUUCUGUGCACCCACAGGCUCAACACUAUGUGGAAGCCGCUAAGGCUUGGGGCUUGCACCCUCUGAAGCCACAGCCCAUGUUGUACCUUGGCUCCUUUUAGCUGCAGCUGGAGUGGCUAGGACUCAGGAACCCUAGGCUGCUCACAGCAGGGGGGCCCUGGGUCCAGCCCACAAAACCAUCUAUUCUUCCUCUGGGCCUUUGAUGGGAGGGGCUGCCAUGAAGAUCUAUGACAUGCCAUGGAGACAUUUUCCCCAUUGUCUUGGGGAUUCACAUUUGACUCCUCCUUACGUAAACAAAUUUCUGCAGCCAGAUCGAAUUUUUCUUGAGAAAAUGGGAUUUUCUUUUCAAUUGCAUUUUCAGGCUGCAAAUUUUCCAAACUUUCAUGCUCUGCUUCCCUUAUAAAACUGAGGGCCUUUAACAGCACCCAAGUCAUCUCUUGAAUGCUUUGCUGCUUAGAAAUUUCUUCUACCAGAUACCCUAAAUCAUCUCUCUCAAGUUCAAAAUUCCACAAAUCUCUACAGCAGGGGCAAAAAGCCACCAGUCUCUUUGCUAAAACAUAACAGGAGUCACCUUUGUGCCAGUUCCUGACAAGUUCCUCAUUUCCAUCUGAGACAACCUUGGCCUAGACUUUAUUGUCCAUAUAACCAUCAGCAUUUUGGGCAAGUCUCUAGGAAAUCUCUUCCAAAUUUUCCCACAUUUUCCUGUCUCCUUCUGAGCCCUCCAAACUGUUCCAACCUCUGCCUGUUUCCCAGUUCCAAAGUCACUUCCACAUAUUCAGGUAUCUUUUAGCAACAUCCCACUUCUGGUACUAAUUUACUGUAUUAGUCCAUUUUCACACAGCUGAUAAAGACACAUUCAAGACUGGGAAAUUUACAAAAGGAAGAGGUUUAAUGGACUUACGGUUCUACAUUGCUGGGGAGGCUUCAAAAUCAUUGCAGAAGUCAAGGAGAGGCAAGUCACAUCUUACAGGGAUGGCAGCAGGCAAAGAGAGAGCUUGAGCAGGGAAACUCCUCCUUUUAAAACCAUCAGAUCUCACGAGACUUAUUCACUAUCAAAAGAAUAGCAUGGGAAAUACCUGCCUCCGUGAUUCAACUACUUCCCACUGGGUCCCUCCCACAACACAUGGGAAUUCAAGAUGAGAUCUGAGUGGGGACACAGCCAAACCAUAUCAAAAGGAUAUACAAAAUAACCAGAAAACAAUGAACAAAUUGACAGGAAUAAGUCUUCACCUAUCAAUAAUCACUUUGAAUAUGGGUUAAAUUACCUACCUAAAAGAUAGAGAGAGGCUUAAUGGAUAAAAAAUGACCCAACAACGUCUACAAGAAACUCACUUCACUUGUAAAGACACACACAGACUGAAAGUGAAGGGAUUGAAAAAGAUAUACCACACAAACAGAAAUCAAAAGUAACCAGGAGUAGCUAAACUUACAUCAGAUAAAACAGACUUUAAGUUAAAAACUGUAAAAAGGACAAAGAAGGUCAUUAUAUGGUAAUAAAGGGAUCAAUUCUGCAACAAAGUAUAACAAUUCUAAAUAUGCAUGCAACCAACACAAGCACAUCCAGACACACAUAGCAAAUAUUAUUAAAUCUACAGGGAAAGAUAGAGUCCAAUACAAUGAUAGUUGAGAACUUCAAUAUCCUACUCUCAGCAUUGGACAGUUCAUCUAGACAUAAAAUCAACAAAGAAACCUCAGAUUUAAGCUGCACGUUAGACCAAAUGGACCUAACAGAUAUUUUCAGAAUAUUUCAUCCAGCGGCAGCAGAAUAUACAAUCAUCUCAUCAACACAUGGAACAUUCUCCAGGAAAGACCAUAUGUUAGGACACAAAACAAGGCUCAACAAAAUUUUAAAAAUUAAAAUCAUAUCAAGUAUCUUCUCAGACCACAAUGGAAUAAAACUUGAAAUCAAUAAGAAGAAGAAAUUUGGAAACUGUACAAAUACAUGGACAUUAAACGUGCUAUUGAAUGAUCAUUGGAUCGAUGAAGAAAUUAAGAUGGAUAUCAAAAAAUUUUUUUAAACAGAAAAUGGAAACACAUCAUGCAAAAUCUAUGGGAUACAGCAAAAGCAGUACUACAAGGAAAGUUUAUAGCAAUAAAUGCCUACACCAAGAAAGUAGAAAGAUUUCAAAUAAACAACCUAAUGAUGAACCUCAAGGAACUCAAAU